GACGAACGCUGGCGGCGUGCUUAACACAUGCAAGUCGAACGGAAAGGCCCUGCUUUUGUGGGGUGCUCGAGUGGCGAACGGGUGAGUAACACGUGAGUAACCUGCCCUUGAUUUUGGGAUAACUUCAGGAAACUGGGGCUAAUACCGGAUAGGAGCUCCUGCUGCAUGGUGGGGGUUGGAAAGUUUCGGCGGUUGGGGAUGGACUCGCGGCUUAUCAGCUUGUUGGUGGGGUAGUGGCUUACCAAGGCUUUGACGGGUAGCCGGCCUGAGAGGGUGACCGGCCUCAUUGGGACUGAGAUACGGCCCAGACUCCUACGGGAGGCAGCAGUGGGGAAUAUUGCACAAUGGGCGGAAGCCUGAUGCAGCAACGCCGCGUGCGGGAUGACGGCCUUCGGGUUGUAAACCGCUUUCGCCUGUGACGAAGCGUGAGUGACGGUAAUGGGUAAAGAAGCACCGGCUAACUACGUG
rnacentral:rRNA from 1 species